AAGGUAGCCGUACCGGAAGGUGCGGCUGGAUCACCUCCUAACAGGGAGACAUCACUGAUUUUGAUGCCUGAAUUUUAUUUUUAGGCCAUAAUUCUGUCACCUUAGGUCGAUCGGUACCUCAAUUUGAUAUUUCAAUAACCAAGAAAUUAGUUUUGAAAUUGUUUGAAUUCAGUUCCUAAACUUUGUCUAGGUCACACCCAACAAGGGUACUCCUGGGCCAUUAGCUCAGGUGGUUAGAGCGCACCCCUGAUAAGGGUGAGGUCCCUGGUUCAAGUCCAGGAUGGCCCAUUCGGUGUUGGGGGUAUAGCUCAGUUGGUAGAGCGCCUGCUUUGCAAGCAGGAUGUCAGCGGUUCGAGUCCGCUUACCUCCACUGAUACAACUCCUGAUAACGAAGCUGAAGGAGAGCCUUAAUUACUGUGAUCUAGAAUUUGUUCUUUAAUGAAUGAACCUAGCUUCUUGUCAUUCCGUCUAAAAAUUUUUUUAGUUGGUUGAUAGGACGCUGGGCUCCCUGCAAAAAUUUUGCAGAGAUCUUCAGUAGAACCUUGACAACUGCAUAGGUGAGUCUGGAAAGAAUAAAGCAUCUCAUGGAUGCAUUAUUUUCUAAACCAAUUUUGAGAAGUCUGAGUUUAUCAACUCUUUAACUUUGGUUUGAAAUUAUAAUGUUUAAUUCUUGAGCAAGAGCUGAGACUCUAUAACGUUCUUUCAUUGAAUAAUUCCAAUGAGAGUUUGAUUUUUAAUUUUUACUCUUUGGUUUUAGAUUUUAUAGAUACUUUCUAUAAGUUUGAUACCAAAUCUUGGCAAAAUUAGAGAGAAAAGUGUUAACAACACAUCACGUUUUAGAGAUUAAUGGUCAAGCUACAA
rnacentral:tRNA from 1 species